AGGACGAACGCUGGCGGCGUGCCUAACACAUGCAAGUCGAACGAGAUCCAUGGGAGCUUGCUCCCGGAAGAUCUAGUGGCGAACGGGUGAGUAACACGUGAGAAACCUGCCCUGGAGUGGGGAAUAACUCGGGGAAACUCGAGCUAAUACCGCAUACCCUCGGAUGGUCGCAUGGCCGACCGAGGAAAGAUUUAUCGCUCUAGGAGGGUCUCGCGGCCUAUCAGCUAGUUGUGGGUAACGGCCUACCAAGGCAACGACGGGUAGCUGGUUUGAGAGAACGAUCAGCCACACUGGACUGAGACACGGCCCAGACUCCUACGGGAGGCAGCAGUGGGGAAUCUUGCGCAAUGGGCGAAAGCCUGACGCAGCAACGCCGCGUGCGGGAUGACGGCCUUCGUGGUUGUAAACCGCUUUCAGCAGGGACGAAAAUGACGGUACCUGCAGAAGAAGCCCCGGCUAACUACGUG
rnacentral:rRNA from 1 species